CACCCUGGUCGCCCACGCUCCUGGUCACCCACAGUCCCUAGGGGCAGCUUUUGAACGGCCGGGGAGGGGAUGCUGCUGGCUCUGCCUACGCCUCGUCAGCCUCCCUCAUGAGGGCUGCCGGGUCCUGGUGGCUCCCUCAAGUAGACUUGAUGCUGGAAAAAUCAGCCCUGCCUGGCCUGGUCCCCCGCUCCGCUGCAGAACACGUCUACCCCGGAGCCGACCACCUUGGCAAAAUGCAGUCACAGUAUCCCUCUGGACAAGUAGUGUCCAAUUGUGACAUGAACAGCCUCAAGACUGUGCUAUUACAGGCAGCGGUGCUUGCUUCAGUGAACUAGGAAAGUACAGAGAUGAGCGUGAUUUGCUUUGUUUGUUUGUUCUUCUACUCCAGCUGGAUUAAGUUAAAUUAUUCUCAUCUCAGUGACUUGCUACAGACAUAAAAGAACUGUGGUUCUUACUCCAGUGAGAAACAAGAACAUUACCUCUGCUCCAGGCUCUCACUUUUUUUCUCCUAUGCAUAGCGUGUUCCUCCAAUGUUUGGUAGUUAAGUGCAUCAUAAAGUUUUCAUGCUCUGCAGUGGGUAUAUUCAUAUGUAAAACUACUACUAUGCUUGUCAUGAAAUUGUAAUAGGACACAGCAUUUACCGCAGCUGUGGACUUUUUCCCAGCCAUCUGAAUCUCCAGGUGCGCCCUUGAGUUGACAAUAACAAGGUGAUGUGCUAUUGUUAUGUCUUUUUACUGUAUUUUCUAAUCUCACUAUCUGGGAAAAUUAUCGUAUAGGUAGGAAUUAAUAUAGAUAAUUGUUCCUACCUUUUGUAAAAUUUAUGUGGUUUUACAUGUUAGGAGUUUGAUGUGAAAAAGUAUAAAGUGUAUGAUGUGAAAAGGUAUAAAGAAUAGGAAUACAGAUGAUAGAUACAGCUCUGUUAACUUUAUGGAUUAAAAUGGUAAAUUUACAGGCAAGUAAUAAGAUCUUUUAUAGUUCAUAUUAAUAAUAAUAUUCUAUAAAAUUCUAAGCAAAGCUUUUAUAUCAUUGAACUGAGUUUCUGGCUGCUUAGUUAUGUCUAUAUUAGUAUAAAUAAUAAUAGCCUGUAAUUAGAACACUUACAUUUUCAAGAAGGAGAAGAGUGAAAAAUGUCAUAACUUUUCUGCCUUAUGGAAAACUUGGAUAUUUUUAACUGGGAAAAAACAAACAAACAAACACACAAAACAAACAAACAACAACAACAACAACAAAAAACAACAUGCAAUUCCAUUAUCUUAGUUAAUGUAUUUCAGUGCAAAAUAGUCAUCAACAGUGAAUUUCACCUUAUACAGAAGAUGAGUAGAAAGCCCUUUAUUGCCACUCUGUUUUUAAUAUAGUUGGAGGAGGAAGGCAGGCAAAAGGAAUCUUGUGUUGUGUUUAGGACUGUAGCUAUCCCCUCUUUGCUACAUCUGUGGAGUUGUUGCUUUUGGCAUCACAGCUGUAUGGACUCCUGCUGCCACUUUUUGAGGUCCUCCAGAGAAUAUUUGGGCUAUUCUACUUCAUUCCAUUGCUCAGUGGCUUCCAAAUCCAAUCAUUUUGUAGGAAUAGCUACAUAGGAUUUUUAUCUUCACAGGUGGUUAUUUACGGGAUGUUAUAUCUAAUAAACUCUAAAAUAGAAAAAAAAAAAAAUUAAUU
rnacentral:lncRNA from 1 species